CCUACGGGGGGCAGCAGUAGGGAAUAUUGCACAAUGGAGGAAACUCUGAUGCAGCCAUGCCGCGUGUGUGAAGAAGGCCUUCGGGUUGUAAAGCACUUUCAGAGGGGAGGAGAAUGACGUUACCCUCAGAAGAAGCACCGGCUAACUCCGUGCCAGCAGCCGCGGUAAUACGGAGGGUGCAAGCGUUAAUCGGAAUAACUGGGCGUAAAGGGCAUGCAGGCGGUCGGGCAAGUAGGAUGUGAAAGCCCCGGGCUCAACCUGGGAACUGCAUUCUAAACUGUCCGACUAGAGUAUUGCAGGG
rnacentral:rRNA from 1 species